rnacentral:rRNA from 1 species
GAUGAACGCUGGCGGCGUGCCUAAUACAUGCAGGUCGAGCGAACGGACGAGAAGCUUGCUCCUCUGAUGUUAGCGGCGGACGGGUGAGUAACACGUGGAUAACCUACCUAUAAGACUGGGAUAACUUCGGGAAACCGGAGCUAAUACCGGAUGAUAUUUUGAACCGCAUGGUUCAAAAGUGAAAGACGGUCUUGCUGUCACUUAUAGAUGGAUCCGCGCUGCAUUAGCUAGUUGGUAAGGUAACGGCUUACCAAGGCAACGAUGCAUAGCCGACCUGAGAGGGUGAUCGGCCACACUGGAACUGAGACACGGUCCAGACUCCUACGGGAGGCAGCAGUAGGGAAUCUUCCGCAAUGGGCGAAAGCCUGACGGAGCAACGCCGCGUGAGUGAUGAAGGUCUUCGGAUCGUAAAACUCUGUUAUUAGGGAAGAACAAAUGUGUAAGUAACUGUGCACGUCUUGACGGUACCUAAUCAGAAAGCCACGGCUAACUACGUG